GUGCUCACUUCAGCAGCUCAUAUCCUAAAAGUGGAAGGAUACAGAGAUUAGCAUGGCCCCCGUGCAAAGAUGGCACAGAAAUGUGUGAAGCAUUCCGUAUUUUU
rnacentral:snRNA from 1 species